UGUGCUCUUUUUUGGGUUUUAUAUUUUGGUGCAUGGUUUAUGCCAGUGGUUAUUUACUGAACAUAUGUUCAUGCGGCGCUUCAUAAAAUUCCAUAUUUGCAGAGGAUGCAGUGCAUUUCUGUCUGGCCUAGUCAGGUCUGGUGUUCAGCGGUUGCCACACCUAGGUGAUCAGAUGGAUUGCAUAUCCAAAAAAAAGCUUC
rnacentral:lncRNA from 7 species